rnacentral:rRNA from 1 species
GAAUUUAAUAUAAUUUUUUAUUAAUAUAAUGAAUUAAUUAUAUUUGAUUGGGGGGAUUAUUAAAUUUAAAAAACUUUAAUGUAAAAAAACUUAAAUUAAAGAAAAAAAAAUAAUUGAAUAAUUUAAAUUAUUUAAGAAUUAAUUACCUUAGGGAUAACAGCAUAAUAAUUUUUUUUAGAUCUUAUAUAAAAAAUUGUUUAU